AUGGCUGUUGAGGCCACGGCAGAGAAGAACACCGGCGCCGCUGCCCCGGAGAGCGGGGACAGGCGCUCCCGCUUCAGGCGGAUCUGCGUCUACUGCGGCAGCGCCAAGGGCCGGAAGGCCAGCUACCAGGACGCCGCCGUCGAGCUCGGCAAGGAGCUGGUGGAGAGGGGCAUCGACCUGGUCUACGGAGGAGGCUCCAUUGGGCUCAUGGGCCUCGUCUCCCACGCAGUCCAUGAUGGAGGACGCCAUGUGAUUGGGGUCAUCCCCAAGUCCUUGAUGCCCAGAGAGGUCACUGGAGAGCCUGUUGGGGAAGUCAGAGCCGUCUCCGGCAUGCACGAGAGGAAGGCCGAGAUGGUUCGCUCUGCUGAUGCCUUCAUUGCCUUACCCGGUGGCUACGGGACUCUGGAUGAGCUGCUCGAGGUCCUCACGUGGGCCCAACUUGGGAUCCACAAGAAGCCGAUCGGGUUGCUGAACGUGGAUGGGUUCUACAAUUUCUUCCUGUCCUUCAUCGACAUGGCUGUGAGCGAAGGAUUCAUACAGGAGGACGCGAGGCACCUCGUCAUCUCAGCUCCAACCGCCAAGGAGCUAGUUCUCAAGCUCGAGGAGUAUGUUCCGGACUACGAGAUCGGGCUGGUGUGGGAGGAUCAGGGCCAGAUCACGCACGGCUUCGUGCCGGAGCUGGAGCCCGGCAUUGCGUCGUCAUGA
rnacentral:rRNA from 1 species